GGUGGCUCAGUGGUAGAGUGCUUGCCUUGCAUGCAUGAGGUUCUGGGUUCAAUUCCUCAGCACCA
rfam:Dipodomys ordii contig_15588, whole genome shotgun sequence.